GGAGGGGGGCAGGGGACACUUAGCGGUCGUUUGGUUAGAUGUAAUUAUAAAUGCAGUGCAGUUAGAGAUGUAUGCAGUUGAAAAUAUAAUAGUUAUAACUAUAUAAAUUUUGUUUAGUUAGAUGUAGUAAAAGCGCUGUAAGUAUAAAUAAUUUGUUUGGUUGCAUGCAGUUGAGAAAUAAUUUUUAAAAUUUUAUUAGUUUAUAUAUAUGAUGGUGAGAUUACCUCCAAUAUAUAAAAAAAAAAAAAAUUCUUGUUUAAAAAAUAUUAAGGAGGUAAGCACGCCUUUUAUUUAAAAUUACUCUCUCCAACUACUAUAAUUAGAACUGCGGUCAAUUUGAACGUAAUUCGAACUGCUGCAAUUGGGCCUCCUCUUGCAGUUCCUACUGCAGUAGUUGGAGUUAAAUAUAUCAAAGCAAACACAAAAUUUGUAUUUACAUGCAAUUACAACUGCAGUGCAGUUGCAACUAUAUGCAACCAAACGGUCCCUUAGAUUUUUGGGUAACUUAAAAAAAAAAAAAUUGUAACCGCGAAAGACAGAAUUUGAUUUUUGAUAGGUCUAUUUAGCAUUAUUUCUAUCCCUUUUCUUGACAGUAAUAACAGUAAUCUUGAUGGUGUUUUUGGCAGUAUCUAUAGAUAGAAAGAGAAUACGACAAUAAUACUAUCUAUAGUACUGAAGCUCCGUUAGUAUAGUCUUGUUUUUGAUUUUAUAAUAUUCAUAUUAACAAUUGAUACCGUUAAAAAUAAUAUGGUGUAUUUAAAGCUUUUAGAAAUAAACUUUUAUAUUUUUUAGACAUCAUUUACUUUAUGAUCAAAAUAUUUUAAAAUUGCCAAUUUUUAUUGGCUGUUAUGACAAGUCUGAUAAUUUAACGGUGUGGAAGAAUAUAAAUUUAUUCAAAUUUAAUAAAACAAAUUCUAAACUAUCUUGUUCAAGGAUAACAUUCUUGAUCUUGAAUUUAAAAAUCCUAUCCUUAAUUUUUAGAGAUUAUUUAAUUUUUACUAUUUAUUUUGACAUAAUUUGCUUAUUAAGUAAAUAAUGUCAAAAAAAAAAAAAUUCCAUUCCUAAAAACUUUUAUAUACCCUGAAUCAUAUUAAUUAAUGUAUAUCGUUAAUUUGAACAUCCUAAAGUCAAAAACGAGACUAUAACAUCGAAGCCCUGAUACUAUAGAUAGUAGAGAAGCAUGUUCUAAACACACACACACAUAUUAGAGUUCGGCUAUGGUUCUUUUAAAAGUACUAAGCAGUUUGUUCUUAUAAAUUUUCUGUCGUUGGAUCUACCUUUUUGACUAUUUUCACUCAUUAAAUUAUAUUAUUCAACUAACUAUCUAUUCAAUUCUAAGGGACCACUAUUAUCCUAACCGCACAUUGCUUAUCCAAGGGCCGAAAAUCUAUAAACACCAAUAACUUGGUAUUUUUAAAAUUAUUGGAGCUCAAUUAUAUAUAUAUAGAGAGAGAGAGAGAGAGAGAGAGAGUUGAGUUGGAAUACUAUUAAUUAAUAGCAUUUGAACUCUUUUGUUAUCGAUUUUUUAACCGUUAAAUCUAUACUUUAACAAUUCCACCAUUUAGAGCAUACUAUUCAAUCAACCAUCGCUAAACCCGGACCACUAUCAUCCUAAUCCUUCAUCCAAGGAUUAAAAACUCGAUCGCAAAAGAGUUUAAAUACUAUUAAUAGUAUUUCAUCCUAAUUAUAUAUUUAUAUAUAUUGACUAUUUUUCUAUGGCCAAAAUAAAUUUAUUUGAGUUUUAAAAACGGAAGUUACAACUUAUCAAAUAAUUAGAACUAUGCAUAUAUAAUUUUUUUUUCUAACAAUGUGCAGCUUAUUAAAUAAUGUUGUAUCCCCACCAACACCUCCAUUUUUUAUAUAAAACUAUCUAAAAUUGUUCAUAUCCCCAGAAACAACUCAAUUUUCAUCCAAACACUAUUUUUCUUAUCCCCAUACUUGUAUCUAUUCCUGUAAUAGCUAGUUCUUGCUUAUACCCGAACCAAACGGUACCUAAAAGAACAACCGGUCCA
rnacentral:lncRNA from 1 species